UCCUUUACUCUGGCUGGCCGGGUUGAC
rnacentral:piRNA from 1 species